CACAGGUAAAAAUCGCACAACUUGUCAACAGGCUUGUAGCAAGCUUGUCAACAAGUUGUAACAAUGCUGUUAUUUCAUCAAGUUGCUACAAGGUUGUCACUCGCAACUUGUUGACAAAUUGUUGAAUUGCAGAACGAUAACAAGUUGUUGAAAAAACUUGUAACAAAUCUGUUGAGCUCAACAACCUUGUAGCAAGUUGUCAACUAGCCGUUGACAACUUGUCAACAAAGUGGGAACAAGCAGUGCGAACACAUC